GACGAACGCUGGCGGCGUGCUUAACACAUGCAAGUCGAACGGAAAGGCCCUGCUUUUGUGGGGUGCUCGAGUGGCGAACGGGUGAGUAACACGUGAGUAACCUGCCCUUUACUUUGGGAUAACUUCAGGAAACUUGGGCUAAUACCGGAUAUGAGCUCCUGCUGCAUGGUGGGGGUUGGAAAGUUUCGGCGGUUGGGGAUGGACUCGCGGCUUAUCAGCUUGUUGGUGGGGUAGUGGCUUACCAAGGCUUUGACGGGUAGCCGGCCUGAGAGGGUGACCGGCCACAUUGGGACUGAGAUACGGCCCAGACUCCUACGGGAGGCAGCAGUGGGGAAUAUUGCACAAUGGGCGGAAGCCUGAUGCAGCAACGCAGCGUGCGGGAUGACGGCCUUCGGGUUGUAAACCGCUUUCGCCUGUGACGAAGCGUGAGUGACGGUAAUGGGUAAAGAAGCACCGGCUAACUACGUG
rnacentral:rRNA from 1 species